UUCGGGUAGUAAUAUCUGGAUGAGAGUGGCGCACGGGUGCGUAACGCGUAUGCAACCUACCCUUUACAGGAGGAUAGCUUUCGGAAACGGAAAUUAAUACUCCAUACAAUCUGUUUGACACCUGUCAAGCAGAUAAAAGUUCCGGCGGUAAAGGAUGGGCAUGCGUGACAUUAGCUAGUUGGUAAGGUAACGGCUUACCAAGGCGACGAUGUCUAGGGGUUCUGAGAGGAUGAUCCCCCACACUGGUACUGAGACACGGACCAGACUCCUACGGGAGGCAGCAGUAAGGAAUAUUGGUCAAUGGGCGAGAGCCUGAACCAGCCAUGCCGCGUGCAGGAAGAAGGCCUUAUGGGUUGUAAACUGCUUUUGUCAGGGAAUAAAUCUAUGUACGCGUACGUAGUUGAAGGUACCUGAUGAAUAAGCAUCGGCUAACUCCGUGCCAGCAGCCGCGGUAAUACGGAGGAUGCAAGCGUUAUCCGGAUUCAUUGGGUUUAAAGGGUGCGCAGGCGGAUAUAUAAGUCAGUGGUGAAAUGCAACAGCUUAACUGUUGAGCUGCCAUUGAUACUGUAGGUCUAGAGUGUAAUUGGGGUAAGCGGAAUAUGUCAUGUAGCGGUGAAAUGCUUAGAUAUGACAUAGAACACCGAUCGCGAAGGCAGCUUACCAAGCUACAACUGACGCUCAUGCACGAAAGCGUGGGGAUCAAACAGGAUUAGAUACCCUGGUAGUCCACGCUGUAAACGAUGAUUACUAGCUGUUGGCGAUAUACAGUCAGUGGCGUAGCGAAAGCGUUAAGUAAUCCACCUGGGGGAGUACGUUCGCAAGUAUGAAACUCAAAGGAAUUGACGGGGGCCCGCACAAGCGGAGGAGCAUGUGGUUUAAUUCGAUGGUACGCGAGGAACCUUACCUAGACUUGAACGCAUU
rnacentral:rRNA from 1 species